AACCAUAGAAACCUGCGGAGUACCUGCGGAGGGAUCAUUAAUGAAUAAACUUGGUCAGGCUGUUGCUGGUUCUUUCGGGGACAUGUGCACGCUUGCCACCAAUUUUAACCACCUGUGCACCUUUUGUAGACUGGAAACGUUUCUCGAGGCAACUCGGAUUGAGAACCGCUGCGCGCAAGCCAGCUUUUCUUGUGUUUCUCAGUCUAUGUUUUCAUAUACUCCUAAUGUAUGUAAUCGAAU
rnacentral:misc_RNA from 1 species